CCACACAGGUAGUCAAGUAGAAUAUACUAAGGCGCUCGAGUGAAUCAUGGCUAAGGAACUCGGCAAAUUAACCCUGUAACUUCGGGAAAAAGGGUGCCCAUAGCAAUAUGGGCCGCAGUGAAAUAGCGGUGGCGACUGUUUAUCAAAAACACAUGGCUUUGCAAAAUCGAAAGAUGAAGUAUAAGGCCUGACACCUGCCCAAUGCUGGAAGGUUAAGAGGAGAGGUUAGUAGUAAUACAAAGCUUUGAAUCGAAGCCCCAGUGAAUGGCGGCCGUAACAAUAACGGUCCUAAGGUAGCGAAAUUCCUUGUCGGGUAAGUUCCGACCUGCACGAAUGGUGUAACGAUCUCCGCUCUGUCUCAGCCAUGAGCUCGGUGAAAUUGUAGUAUCGGUGAAGAUGCCGAUUACCCGCAACGGGACGGAAAGACCCCGUGCACCUUUACUAUAGCUUAACAUUGACUUUGGAUAACUAAUGUGUAGGAUAGGUGGGAGACUUUGAAGCAGUGGCGCCAGCCAUUGUGGAGUCGUCCUUGAAAUACCACCCUUUGGUUAUUUGAAUUCUAAUCCCUCAAAAGGGGAGACAUUGUUUGGUGGGUAGUUUGACUGGGUGGUCGCCUCCAAAAUUGUAUCGGAGGCUUUCAAAGGUACCCUCAGCACGCUUGGUAACCGUGCGUAUAGUGCAAUAGCAUAAGGGUGCUUGACUGUGAGACCUACAAGUCGAGCAGGGUCGAAAGACGGAUAUAGUGAUCCGGUGGUUCCGUGUGGAAGGGCCAUCGCUCAAAGGAUAAAAGGUACGCCGGGAUAACAGGCUGAUCACCCCCAAGAGCUCAUAUCGACGGGGUGGUUUGGCACCUCGAUGACGGCUCGUCACAUCCUGGGGCUGGAGAAGGUCCCAAGUGUUGAGCUGUUCGCUCAUUAAAGUGGCACGCGAGCUGGGUUCAGAACGUCGUGAGACAGUUCGGUCCCUAUCUGUUGUGGGCGUUAGAAAUUUGAGAGGACCUGACUCUAGUACGAGAGGACCGAGUUGGACAGACCUCUAGUGUACCUGUUGUGGCGCCAGCUGCAUUGCAGGGUAGCUACGUCUGGUCGAGAUAAGCGCUGAAAGCAUCUAAGCGCGAAACUCGCCUCAAGAUAAGAUUUCUUUUAAGGGUCGUAAUAGACUAUUACGUUGAUAGGUUGCAAGUGUAAAGGCAGUAAUGUCAAAGCUGAGCAAUACUAAUUACCC
rnacentral:rRNA from 1 species